rnacentral:rRNA from 1 species
GCUGAGGCACGAAAGCGUGGGGAGCAAACAGGAUUAGAUACCCUGGUAGUCCACGCCGUAAACGAUGAGUACUAAACGUUGGGUAAAACCAGUGUUGAAGUUAACACAUUAAGUACUCCGCCUGAGUAGUACGUACGCAAGUAUGAAACUUAAAGGAAUUGACGGGACUCCGCACAAGCGGUGGAUCAUGUUGUUUAAUUCGAAGGUACCCGAAAAACCUCACCAGGUCUUGACAUGCUUCUGCAAAGCUGUAGAAACACAGUGGAGGUUAUCAGUUGCACAGGUGGUGCAUGGUUGUCGUCAGCUCGUGUCGUGAGAUGUUGGGUUAAGUCCCGCAACGAGCGCAACCCUUAUUGUUAGUUACCAGCACGUAAUGGUGGGGACUUUAGCAAGACUGCCAGUGAUAAAUUGGAGGAAGGUGGGGACGACGUCAAAUCAUCAUGC